GACGAACGCUGGCGGCGUGCUUAACACAUGCAAGUCGAGCGGUAAGGCCCUUUCGGGGGUACACGAGCGGCGAACGGGUGAGUAACACGUGGGUGACCUGCCCUCAGCUCUGGGAUAAGCCUGGGAAACCGGGUCUAAUACCGGAUAUGACUCCAUGACGCAUGUUGUGGGGUGGAAAGCCUUGUGCGGCUGAGGAUGGGCCCGCGGCCUAUCAGCUUGUUGGUGGGGUGAUGGCCUACCAAGGCGACGACGGGUAGCCGGCCUGAGAGGGCGACCGGCCACACUGGGACUGAGAUACGGCCCAGACUCCUACGGGAGGCAGCAGUGGGGAAUAUUGCGCAAUGGGCGGAAGCCUGACGCAGCGACGCCGCGUGGGGAUGACGGCCUCGGUGUAACUC
rnacentral:rRNA from 1 species